rnacentral:lncRNA from 1 species
AUGUGUUUUCCUCAUCUUAAGCUUGUUCAGGGAUUUACAGCAUCCCCAUCUCAGAAGAACAAAACUGCUUUGAGGGGAAGGAAAUCUGCAAAAGAUGGCCUGAAGCAGGAGCCUGUGGCAUCUUUGCAGACCAGUGCAACAAUGUGUACUGUGAAUAGCUCAGAUACUACCUGGCUACUACGACUUCCAAGACCUGUGAGAGAAUGCGAUCAGCAAAGGCCUUGGCAGGUGAGUGACUGUACAUUCCUUCAGCUGUAGAUUCUACUACAAAGAACCAGUUUAGGACACACAAAACCAGUAUCUGUAA